AUUGAACGCUAGCGGGAUGCCUUACACAUGCAAGUCGACCGGAGUGGCGAACGGGUGAGUAAUGUAUCGGAACGUGCACAGUAGCGGGGGAUAACUACGCGAAAGCGUUGCUAAUACCGCAUACUAUUGGAGCGGCCGAUAGCGGAUUAGCUAGUUGGUGGGGUAACGGUUCACAAAGGCGACGAUCCGUAGCUGGUUUGAGAGGACGACCCGCCACACUGGGACGUAGACACGGCCCAUUCUCCGACGGGAGGCAGCAGUGGGGAAUUUUGGACAAGGGGGGAAACCCUGAUCCAGCCAUCCCGCGUGUGCUAUGAAGGCCUGCGGGUUGUAAAGCACUUUUGGCAGGAAAGCGGUACCUGCAGAAUAAGCACCGGCUAACUACGUGCGAGCCGCCGCGGUAAUUC
rnacentral:rRNA from 1 species